rnacentral:rRNA from 1 species
UUUAACUGAGCGUUCAGUUACUUGACGUAGACCCGAAACCGGGCGACCUACCCAUGAGCAGGAUGAAGCGAAAGUAAAAUUUCGUGGAGGUCCGAACCCACGAGCGUUGAAAAGCUCGGGGAUGACUUGUGGGUAGCGGUGAAAUUCCAAUCGAGCCCGGAGAUAGCUGGUUCUCCCCGAAAUAGCUUUAGGGCUAGCCUCAAGGUGAGAGAUACGGAGGUAGAGCACUGAAUGUCCUAGGGGGUAUUGCACCUACCGAAGACUAUCAAACUCCGAAUGCCGUCAUCUUAUACUUGGGAGUCAGACUGUGGGUGAUAAGAUUCAUAGUCGAAAGGGCAACAGCCCAGAUCGUCAGCUAAGGUCCCUAAAUGUAAGUUAAGUGGUAAAGGAUGUGGGAUUGCACAGACAACCAGGAUGUUGGCUUAGAAGCAGCCACUCAUUCAAAGAGUGCGUAAUAGCUCACUGGUCGAGUGAUCCUGCGCCGAAGAUUUCCGGGGCUAAAACUUACUACCGAAGCUACGGCAUCAGUAAUGAUGGGUAGGGGAGCUUCCCAUACGGGUUGAAGCAUGACCGUAAGGACAUGUGGACAGUAUGGGAGUGAGAAUGUUGGCAUGAGUAGCGAGAUGUGGGUGAGAAUCCCACAGGCCGUAAACCCAAGGUUUCCAGGGGAAGGUUCGUCCGCCCUGGGUUAGUCGGGACCUAAGCUGAGGCCGAAAGGCGUAGGUGAUGGACAACAGGUUGAUAUUCCUGUACUACCGAUAACCGUUUGAGAGAAGGGAUGACACAGUAGGAUAAGCUAAGCACACUGUUGGUUAUGUGUGCCCAAGCAUUGAGGCAGUCAAAGUAGGCAAAUCCGCUUUGAUAAUGCUGGGAUGUGAUGGGGAGCGAAAUUUAGUAGCGAAGUAGCUGAUUUCACACUGUCAAGAAAAGUCUCUAUCGAGGUUAAAGGUACCCGUACCG